GCCGAGAUAGCUCAGCUGGCCAGAGCAACUCCAUGGUAAGGAGUAGGCCCCGGGUUCGAAUCCCGGUCUCGGCUCCA
rnacentral:tRNA from 3 species